GCAGUUCUCGGGUGACGCGCCCAGAACCAGAGAGGAGAGAGCCCGAUUCUGGGGUGUGUCGCCUGAGAACUGCCC